CAAGCUAUAGCAAACCGAUAUUUAUUACGUCCCUUAUGUGACCGCCGCCGCGCGCCGCCACCGGUGAAGUUGGGGUUAGUAUUUUGCAUGUUUUGUUUGAUAAUUUGUUUACAGUUUAGUGCAAACUAUGGUCACGAUCGGUGUUAUUGUUGGUUGUUAAAAUAUUGUGAGUGCUCUAUAUGCAAAUGAAUAUUCAAGAUGUUAUAUUCUAAAAGAUAUUAGUGGUUGCAGAUAAGAGUGUUUAGUGAGUGCUAUGUUUGAAUAUUUGCAAGUGAAAACACAGCCUAUCGAUGUAAUGCGCCGAUAAACUAUCAUGACUGCAUUGAUGUAAUGCGCUAAAAAACUGCAAUGGCUCCGAAUACAUGAUUACCAGAUAACAAAUCCUAGCGCAGCUUACGUGUGUUCUUCAAUAACGUCGCAAGCUACAGUGGCUGUUCAUAAUUUUUGAAAGUUCUACACCUACAGGAUUCAGUUAUCUGGGCAUUAUAGAUACCCUAUUAUCACCUACGAAGUUAUUUAGGUAUAUUUAUUAAAACCAUUAUACAAGGUGUUGCAAAAAGGGUAAACUAAGCCGAAUGCUACAUGUGCAGCAUGGUAUAUCUAAGCCUGAAACUGAAAUCAGAAUUUAAAU